rnacentral:rRNA from 1 species
UUGGAGGGCAAGUCUGGUGCCAGCAGCCGCGGUAAUUCCAGCUCCAAUAGCGUAUAUUAAAGUUGUUGCAGUUAAAAAGCUCGUAGUUGAAUUUCGGGGUUCUUCCGUUGGUCAGGCUAACAAGUCUGUACUAGCGUGUAGAAUCUCUACCUUCUGGGGAACCAUCAUGUUAUUAAUUUAGCGUGGUGGGAAACCAGGACCUUUACCUUGAAAAGAUUAGAGUGUUCAAAGCAGGCUUACGUCUGAAUACAUUAGCAUGGAAUAAUAAAAUAGGACGGUGGUCCUGUUUUGUUGGUUUCUGAAUCACCGUAAUGAUUAAUAGGGAUAGUUGGGGGCAUUAGUAUUCAAUUGUCAGAGGUGAAAUUCUUGGAUUUAUUGAAGACUAACUUCUGCGAAAGCAUUUGCCAAGGAUGUUUUCAUUAAUCAAGAACGAAAGUUAGGGGAUCGAAGACGAUCAGAUACCGUCGUAGUCUUAACCAUAAACUAUGCCGACUAGGGAUCGGACGAUGUUAAAUUUUAUUGACUCGUUCGGCGCCUUACGGGAAAC